UAAUGAUCAUUUAUAUUGUUAUUAUUGUUUGUUUAAUUAAUAUAUCCAUAUAUAAUAUGGUGAAUGUGAUGUUAAGGAAAAAGAAUACAACUUUUUUCUUAAUAUAAUAAGGCAGGUUCGAUAUUAAAUAAAUAAUAAUAGACACGACUACACGCAACUACACAAUUUCUUUACAUUGUUACGUGCAUACGUCGAUUAAAUAGUACGAUUUAAUUGAAACGACACUUGUGUAUCCUUUCAUGAUUUCAUAUGUAAAUAUAAAGAAAAAGGAAGAAAAAAAUAUAUAUGAAAGAAGAAGUACGACGCUGUAAAAUAUAUUAAUUAUUAAUUAUUAUUAAAAACACUUAUAUACGAUAUCUCUUCACUUCACUUGUAAUCUAAAUGAUUAAUGCUAAUGUGCUUGUAAGACCGCAUGUGUACGACGAAAUAGCUAAUAACUAAUGCAAAACAUUUGGGCAUAAAUAUCUGGAGGAAUUAGAGAGACGAGAGAGAGAAAGAGAGAGAGAGAGAGAGGAUCAAGAUGAGUGACGGUGUAUAAUUAAUGAAUUAAAUAAUUAAUCGAAUUAAGGAUUACGAAAUAAAUCUUAUGUUCUUAUAACGAUAUUAUGGAAGAAUGAGACUAUAUAUGCAAAUAAAUUAUAUCAAAAAGUUACACGAUAACGCGUCGUGCCUUUAUUUUUUGAAGAAUAAGAAAUAGAAAGGUGGGGAGGGAAAAGGUCGUUUGAAAUUUGGCGCCAUUCGAAGGAGCCGGCUACGUCAUAGUUUCGAUCAGCCGUAGUACCAAAGGAUUACGCGAGAUGUCGUUAGGGGCGAGCACAUCCGCAGAAUCAAAAAAGACAGCUGGGAAGCGUAACAUCACACAUCGAUUCGCGGUGGCCCUUCGGAGGUCGAAAAACUUUUUCGUAAGCGCGUCGAAAGACCGGCGGGAGGACCGAACGAACCACGGAACUAACAUUAAUUUGUGUUUUAUUUGAGAAAAAGAAAAAAACUUUGUUUAUCCAUCGAGAUACACAGUAGUAGAUUGUCGUCGUCGUCGUGGUCGUUUCUCUUUCUCUCUCUGUAUCUCCUUGCGUUUGGUGUUCAACGACGAGUCCAACGAUCGCGAGAGAGGAACGAAAAGGACGAACCGAGUAGGAAGAGAGAGGAAAACGUCAAGGGAGAAAGAAAAUAGGAAGAGGAGAGAAGGAGAGAGUUAGAAAGAAAGAAAGAGAGAGAGAGAGUGAGAGGUCCCAAGAUUGGAGUGUGUCACGAAGAGAGAGAGAGAGAAAGAGAAAACUCGAAGUGUCAACGGUAGUGAAGAAUGAUAGUGAGGGUGUUUCGGAAGCCGGCUUGAAGGACGAGGACGGGGGUAGCAAUAGCGGCGGUGGCGGCGGCAGUGUCAACGAAAAAGAAAGGAGCCAUGUGCCGAUAAGAAGAAGGAAGAAAGACUCGCGUUUAGAUGUUAUGCGGUCUUUCCUGUCACGAAGAGCAGCAGACACGAGCGUUCUCGUUGAAGGCACUUUUCAAGGCUCCGCCGACGACGAGCCACGUCGCCGAGGGAACCUAUCCUGCAUGUUACUGCUGCCGUGGAGGUCACUGCAUUGCGAUCGGUGGUGCGACGAGAUAGCAAGGACGAGGACGAGGACGAUGAGAAGAAAGGUAACGGCGUGAUAUCGUGUCGCAUAGGGUGUGCAGGGGUAUAAGGAUUUUGCAGUCUCUCUCGCGUUAUACCAAGAGCAGCAAUGUCACGUGUAUAUAGACAUAGAGGGAAGUAGGAAGAAGGAAGGAA
rnacentral:lncRNA from 1 species